rnacentral:lncRNA from 1 species
UUCUAACGACCCUCGUGACAGCCAGAGAAUGUCCGUUUCUCGGAGCGCAGCACAGCCUGUCCCAUCGAGAAGCCUCGGGUGACGGGCCCGGUGGGCGCCCGGAGGCCGCUGGAGGGCUGUGGGAGGGACGGUGGCUCCCCACUCCCGUGACGAAGGGCAGGCAAACCAGAAGCCUCUUUUGAGAGCCGUUUGGGAUUGAGAUGAAUAAGCCACAGCGAGUGGUUAGAAGUAGGUUAGGAAGAAGGGGAGGUAAGAAAGCCGAGUAGGGUUCUGGGCCGGAGCCGUUCACUGAGACAGGAACCUUGGGGGAGAUGCGGUGUCUCCCUGGCGUCCCGGUGCAAAUGCCCAGAGAGCGGCUGGAACCCCUCGAGGCUGGAGCACGGGGACGCCGGCCUGGGGUGUAGGUCUGGGAGCAGUCGGCCGUCAGUUCCCAGACACCGUGACAAAAGACAUCAUUCUACGCUGCACAAAAGCAGCCAGAGGCGGCCUCUCCCACGCUCCGGAAGCGAAGGGAAUGAUCUGGCUAGAGAGCAGCACUCCAGGGUGACUCCGUCCUGCUGCCUAGCCGGCCUCCGGCACUCGCCCGUGGGCCACUCCGGGCAGAUCAUCUGACUCUGAACCACUCUGAACAUCAGUCUCUUCAUCUCUAAAUGAGGGUGCUGGCCGUGUGGAUCCGCAGGUGUAUCCUGAGGUUUGACACGUACAAAAAGCUUAGGACAGUAAAUACUAAUAGGCUGUUGCAAAAUAAAUUGCGUUUUUGUCACUAAAAAAAAGUAGCAAAACCCGCAAUUACUUUUCCACCAACCUAAUAUUAAAUGUGAGUGACUG